GAUGAACGCUGGCUGCAGGCUUAACACAUGCAAGUCGAGUGGCAGCGGUAUCGUUAGCUUGCUUUUGGUAGCCGGCCACCUGCGUACGGGUUAGUAACGUGUCUCGAACCUGCCUCAUACUCGGGAAUAGCGUUGCUAAAUUAAGAUUAAUGCCCGGUGUUUUCAUAGUCCCUCUUGAGACUUUGAACAAACAUUUAUCGGUAUGUGAUGGCGAUUCGUUCCAUUGGGUUGUUGGCGAGGUAACGGCCCACCAAGGCUUCGCUGGGUAGGUGUUCUGAGAGGAAGGUCCCCCAGAUUGGAACUGAGACACGGACCAAACUGCGACGGGAGGCAGAAGUGAGGAAGAAUGGGCAAUGGGGGGAAGCCUGAACCAGCCAAGUAGGGGGAAGAAAGACGGCGAUCGGGGUGGUAAACUGCUUUGAGUUGGGAAUAAAAAGGGGAUAGGGAGCACCCUUGAAGGUACCAACAGAAAAAGGACCGGCUAAUUCCGUG
rnacentral:rRNA from 1 species